GCCAAUGUAGCUCAGCCUGGUAGAGCAAUUGAUUUGUAAUCAAUAGGUCAUGGGUUCAGAUCCCGUCAUUGGCU
rnacentral:tRNA from 4 species